rnacentral:rRNA from 1 species
UACGUAGGGGGCAAGCGUUGUCCGGAAUUAUUGGGCGUAAAGAGCGCGUAGGCGGUCCGGUAAGUCGGCUGUGAAAGUCAAGGGCUCAACCCUUGAAAGCCGGCCGAUACUGUCGGACUAGAGUCCGGAAGAGGAGAGUGGAAUUCCCGGUGUAGCGGUGAAAUGCGCAGAUAUCGGGAAGAACACCCGUGGCGAAGGCGGCUCUCUGGGACGGUACUGACGCUGAGACGCGAAAGCGUGGGGAGCGAACCGG